AACAAACGCUGGCGGCGUGCCUAAUACAUGCAAGUCGAACGAGGAAAGUAGCAAUAUGAGUACUAGUGGCGCACGGGUGAGUAACGCGUGGGUAAUCUUCCUCGAAGCGUGGGAUAACCAGUCGAAAGAUUGGCUAAUACCACAUAAGACCACAGGAUCUGCGGAUCUAGGGGUCAAAGGUUUUUCGCUUGUAGAUGAGCCCGCGUAGGAUUAGCUAGUUGGUGAGGAACGGCUCACCAAGGCAACGAUCUUUAACUGGUCUUAGAGGAUGAUCAGUCACACUGGAACUGAGACACGGUCCAGACUCCUACGGGAGGCAGCAGUAGGGAAUAUUGCACAAUGGAGGAAACUCUGAUGCAGCGACGCCGCGUGAGUGAU
rnacentral:rRNA from 1 species